GUCUUUUUGAUUAUAAUUUAAAGUCUUAUCUGCUCAAUGAAUUAUUUUUAAAUAGCUGCGGUAGAGAUAACCGUACAAAGGUAGCAUAAUCAAUAGUUUUUUAAUUAAAAGCUGGUAUGAAUGGUGUAAUGAAAUAUUAACUGUCUUAAAUUUAAAUUUUUAUAAUUUUAUUUUUAGUUAAAAUUCUAAAAUUUUAUUAAAAGACGAGAAGACCCUAUAGAUUUUUAUAGUUUUAAUUAAUAUUAUAUUUAAAAUAUUUAUAGUUUAAAUUAAUUUUAUUUGAUUGGGGUGAUUAUUAAAUUUAUUUAACUUUAAUAAUUUUUAACAUAAAUUAAUGAAUUUUUGAUCUUUAAUUUUUGAUUUAAGAAUAAAUUACCUUAGGGAUAACAGCGUAAUUUUUUUGGAAAGAUCAUAUUGAUAAAAAAGUUUGC
rnacentral:rRNA from 1 species